UGUUCCGAGGAGCGCUGCGACGAAUCCUUUUCGCCAGGCUCGGAAUCUGCAACCGCGCUCACGUUAC
rnacentral:ncRNA from 2 species